rnacentral:rRNA from 1 species
AUUCCAGCUCCAAUAGCGUAUACUAAAGUUGUUGCAGUUAAAAAGCUCGUAGUUGAAUUUCUGGAUGCGAAAGAUGGUCGGCACCUCACGGUGUCUGUACUUUUCAUUCGCGUCCAUCCUCGGGAGGAACGUGUGGGGCUUUAAAUAGUUCUGCUCGGGAAUCUCGUCAUUUACUGUGAGCAAAAUAGAGUGUUCAAAGCAGGCUUAUGCCGUUGAAUAUAUUAGCAUGGAAUAAUAAGAUACGACUUUGGUCUAUUUUGUUGGUUUGCAUUCCAAAGUAAUGAUUAAUAGGGAUAGUUGGGGGUAUUCGUAUUCAAUUGUCAGAGGUGAAAUUCUUGGAUUUAUGGAAGACGAACUACUGCGAAAGCAUUUACCAAGGAUGUUUUCAUCA